rnacentral:rRNA from 1 species
GAUGAACGCUGGCGGCGUGCCUAACACAUGCAAGUCGAGCGAAUGGAUUAAGAGCUUGCUCUUAUGAAGUUAGCGGCGGACGGGUGAGUAACACGUGGGUAACCUGCCCAUAAGACUGGGAUAACUCCGGGAAACCGGGGCUAAUACCGGAUAACAUUUUGAACCGCAUGGUUCGAAAUUGAAAGGCGGCUUCGGCUGCCACUUAUCGAUGGACCCGCGUCGCAUUAGCUAGUUGGUGAGGUAACGGCUCACCAAGGCAACGAUGCGUAGCCGACCUGAGAGGGUGAUCGGCCACACUGGGACUGAGACACGGCCCAGACUCCUACGGGAGGCAGCAGUAGGGAAUCUUCCGCAAUGGACGAAAGUCUGACGGAGCAACGCCGCGUGAGUGAUGAAGGCUUUCGGGUCGUAAAACUCUGUUGUUAGGGAAGAACAAGUGCUAGUUGAAUAAGCUGACACCUUGACGGUACCUAACCAGAAAGCCACGGCUAACUACGUGCCAGCAGCCGCCGUAA